GAUGAACGCUGGCGGCGUGCCUAAUACAUGCAAGUCGAGCGAACAGACGAGGAGCUUGCUCCUCUGACGUUAGCGGCGGACGGGUGAGUAACACGUGGAUAACCUACCUAUAAGACUGGGAUAACUUCGGGAAACCGGAGCUAAUACCGGAUAAUAUAUUGAACCGCAUGGUUCAAUAGUGAAAGACGGUUUUGCUGUCACUUAUAGAUGGAUCCGCGCCGCAUUAGCUAGUUGGUAAGGUAACGGCUUACCAAGGCAACGAUGCGUAGCCGACCUGAGAGGGUGAUAGGCCACACUGGAACGGAGACACGGUCCAGACUCCUACGGGAGGCAGCAGUAGGGAAUCUUCCGCAAUGGGCGAAAGCCUGACGGAGCAACGCCGCGUGAGUGAUGAAGGUCUUCGGAUCGUAAAACUCUGUUAUUAGGGAAGAACAAAUGUGUAAGUAACUAUGCACGUAUUGACGGUACCUAAUCAGAAAGCCACGGCUAACUACGUG
rnacentral:rRNA from 1 species